GUCUAGGACCACACCACCCCAAACGUUCCUGAUCUCAUCUGAUCCUGGAAGCUAAGCAGGGUCGGGCCUGGUUAGUACUUGGAUGGGAGACGCAGAGCUGUGUUGUGAACA
ensembl:rRNA 5S_rRNA 5S ribosomal RNA